rnacentral:rRNA from 1 species
GAUGAACGCUGGCGGCGUGCCUAAUACAUGCAAGUCGAGCGAACAGACGAUGAGCUUGCUCCUCUGACGUUAGCGGCGGACGGGUGAGUAACACGUGGAUAACCUACCUAUAAGACUGGGAUAACUUCGGGAAACCGGAUCUAAUACCGGAUAAUAUAUUGAACCGCAUGGUUCAAUAGUGAAUGACGGUUUUGCUGUCACUUAUAGAUGGAUCCGCGCCGCAUUAGCUAGUUGGUAAGGUAACGGCUUACCAAGGCAACGAUGCGUAGCCGACCUGAGAGGGUGAUCGGCCACACUGGAACUGAGACACGGUCCAGACUCCUACGGGAGGCAGCAGUAGGGAAUCUUCCGCAAUGGGCGAAAGCUUGACGGAGCAACGCCGCGUGAGUGAUGAAGGUCUUCGGAUCGUAAAACUCUGUUAUUAGGGAAGAACAAAUGUGUAAGUAACUAUGCACGUCUUGACGGUACCUAAUCAGAAAGCCACGGCUAACUACGUG